CUGCCGCGUGCUUACCUGCAAGUCGAACGAUGAAAGCGGGAGCUUGCUCCUGCUGGAUUAGUGGCGAACGGGUGAGUAACACGUGAGUAACCUGCCCUUGACUCUGGGAUAAGCGUUGGAAACGACGUCUAAUACCGGAUACGACCUUCGGAGGCAUCUCCUGGGGGUGGAAAGAAUUUCGGUCAAGGAUGGACUCGCGGCCUAUCAGCUAGUUGGUGAGGUAAUGGCUCACCAAGGCGACGACGGGUAGCCGGCCUGAGAGGGUGACCGGCCACACUGGGACUGAGACACGGCCCAGACUCCUACGGGAGGCAGCAGUGGGGAAUAUUGCACAAUGGGCGCAAGCCUGAUGCAGCAACGCCGCGUGAGGGACGACGGCCUUCGGGUUGUAAACCUCUUUUAGUAGGGAAGAAGCGAAAGUGACGGUACCUGCAGAAAAAGCACCGGCUAACUGCGUGCCAGCAGCCGCGGUAAUACGUAGGGUGCAAGCGUUAUCCGGAAUUAUUGGGCGUAUAGAGCUCGUAGGCGGUUUGUCACGUCUGCUGUGAAAACUGGAGGCUCAACCUCCAGCCUGCAGUGGGUACGGGCAGACUAGAGUGCGGUAGGGGAGAUUGGAAUUCCUGGUGUAGCGGUGGAAUGCGCAGAUAUCAGGAGGAACACCGAUGGCGAAGGCAGAUCUCUGGGCCGUAACUGACGCUGAGGAGCGAAAGCAUGGGGAGCGAACAGGAUUAGAUACCCUGGUAGUCCAUGCCGUAAACGUUGGGAGCUAGAUGUAGGGACCAUUCCACGGUUUCUGUGUC
rnacentral:rRNA from 1 species